GUGGGGAAUCUUGCGCAAUGGGCGAAAGCCUGACGCAGCCAUGCCGCGUGGAUGAUGAAGGUCUUAGGAUUGUAAAAUCCUUUCACCGGUGAAGAUAAUGACUGUAGCCGGAGAAGAAGCCCCGGCUAACUUCGUGCCAGCAGCCGCGGUAAUACGAAGGGGGCUAGCGUUGCUCGGAUUUACUGGGCGUAAAGGGCGCGUAGGCGGACAGCUUAGUCAGAGGUGAAAGCCCAGGGCUCAACCUUGGAAUUGCCUUUGAUACUGGCUGUCUUGAGUUUGGGAGAGGUGAGUGGAACUCCGAGUGUAGAGGUGAAAUUCGUAGAUAUUCGGAAGAACACCAGUGGCGAAGGCGACUCACUGGCCCAAUACUGACGCUGAGGCGCGAAAGCGUGGGGAGCAAACAGGAUUAGAUACCCCUGUAGUCC
rnacentral:rRNA from 1 species